UAAGAAGCUACAUCUAGCUUGUCCUUAGCCUACGAGAGGGGCUUCCACCAAAGAACUGUCAUAGGCUGAAGGCAAAAAGGAAGCCUUAAAACCUACUUCCUCUUGCCAACAUAGCCUGAUCCCUUACUUGUAUAGUGCUAAGGCCCAUCUGACUUGCAAGAUAGCUUCACCUAGGCUAUGCCCAAAAUGAUCCACUAGAGGAGAUGAACCCACAUUGUUACCAGACCUUGCCCUUUUUUGUCUAUCAGCCUCUAAGGAAGUUAGGCCCCUUACUCCUGCUUCAAACUUCUUUGGCCCCUUGAUGGAUAUCCUUUCUCCCAUAUUUUCACGCAACACAUCAUUCCUCCCUACGCUCCCACCAACUCUUGAAGACACCUCCAUUCUUUCCCCAACUUCCAACCUAUUGCAACCUUGCUUUGGUACUACUGUAAUCAUCCAUGGCAGAAUCUCCCACCAAAGUUGAAUUCAACAAGAAAGCCUUAUCACCACUUGCAAAUUACA
rnacentral:lncRNA from 1 species